rnacentral:lncRNA from 1 species
UUUGUUUGUUUGUUUGUUUCACCAGUCCUGAAUAAGAUGAACCAUUAUUUAAAUUGCUGCAAUUUAUGUUGUUUCUAAAUCCAUACAUGUAUGAGACAACCUAUUAUUAGUUGUAUGCCAGAGAAGCAAUUUAUAAACAUUAUCUGCUACGUAAAUGUCUUCCUAAUAGAGCCUCAUUCAUGAAGGCUUUCUCACGGUUCUCAACACAUCAAAUGCCAUGUUUUUACUAAAUUAACAACCACUUACAAGAAACUUGAUGUAAAUUUAUUCAAUGUUUGAGAUAAU